GGGUCAGUAGGUUGGUCGUGCCACCGGUACGUACUGGUCUCACUGAUUCCUCCUUCCUGAAGAACCGUAAUGCCAUUAAUUUGGUGUUGCGGGGAAACAGGACUGUUACUUUGAAAAAAUUAGAGUGUUUAAAGCAAGCUAGCGCUUGAAUACAUUAGCAUGGAAUAAUGAAAUAGGACGAUCAAUCCUAUUUUGUUGGUUUCUAGGAUUGACGUA
rnacentral:rRNA from 1 species